rnacentral:rRNA from 1 species
AUGGCUUCAUCCGGUUCCAUGACGAGGCCACCGUGUGCUAACCAAGAAUACAUGCCGAACAAGUGGGAGGACGCAUCUUUGGACAAGGUGAAGGAGAAAGAUGUCAACAUCCCGCAAUGUUGGUGUGCAGAUGUUUGCAAGGUGAAGGUGUCCACCGACCGAAAGAAAGCAUGGACGGAAGGGCGGGGAUAUUUUGUAUGCCCGAACUAUGUUUAUGAUCGUGCACUUCCAACUAACGCCUAUGACCAACCAUCGGUAAGCUCGAGAAGUAAAAUGUUACUCUGA